rnacentral:lncRNA from 1 species
UCCUGGUGUCAGCCACAAAGCUAUGACCAUACUUCGAGUCACACACCAUCAGGACAAAUUAGCCUCUGCGAAAUGGUUUAUAUAGGUCAGAGCUGUCAGGGCAACUAUCCACCUGGGCGAUAAUAUUGUCAGUCUUUCAUACCAAAUACGUCCUAACAAAGGCCAUGAAAGAUUAGGCAGCCGAUUUUAUCGCAAAAAUGAUUCCUCCGUUAGAGCCUUUGGAAUCCCCUGAAUUAACCGUGGAAGAAUGGAAAGUUUAGGCAAAUAGAGCUUGCAAAGUCGGGGGUUCUAGAAUCAGGAUCCUUUUGUAGAGUCAGACCGGUAUAAAGCUUUGGUAUGCAGCAAAACUCACCUUCAACACUACCAACAAUGUAGCCAAAUACGAGGCUGUGAUAGUGGCCCUAUGAAUCAUCAAG